rnacentral:lncRNA from 1 species
GCACAGGGGGCCCCUGACGCCGCGCUGGGCGUCCCGAGUGCUGGGCGUCAGAUCUGCUCCUUCACCCUCCUCCGGCGGCAGCGCUCCUCCCCACCCCGUCCCCAGCAAUCGCCCACCGACCUGUGUCCCUUUCUCCGCCGAGACGCCUUGGGAUCGGCUCCCUCCUUCCCCUCACGGACCCUCCCCCAGGUCUGGCCUCCGCUGCUCCCACCUCCUGAGGUUUUUCUCACGUUUUGAUUUUAGGGCAGGCCUCCCAGCAUGAAAGCCUGACCUAAAAUCAAGGCUGAUGAUAGUUCCUGCUCCCAAACAAUCCUUCCCGUCAGCCAGACCUGAGCCUCCUGAGAGCCCUCGCGACGCCCGCGGGGGAUGUGGGCGAGAAAGCGCCUCACGCUCCUCCCGCGCAAAACGCCGGAGAGGCCGGAAAACGCAGCCGUCGAGGGGCUGUUUAGGGAAGGCCGCCUGCCACAGAAGCAAGUUCUGCAUGACUCCAGCAGAAAGGGGAUUUCCUGGAAGGACAUCGAGCACCUCACAAAGUCGAGAGGAAGGUGGAGAACCAGGCUCAGGCAGGAACCAAGGCCCAAGGACAGCCCAGGGCCUCCCGGGAAACGACCUACCUGGUGCAGAGCUCUGCAACACACACUCGCCAUCGUGCCCCGGGGGACCAGAGGCCAGGGCAUCUGUGUGGCCACUGAAGGAAGAGGAGAAGCCUCAGGCUGAGUGCCCCUCACCCCACUCUGAGCUUAGGCUCAGAGAGGAACCCUUCCUUCCCUCCUCUUUUUCUUCCCUCCUCUUCUCCCUCUCUCCUUCCCUUCUCCAAAAUUAAAUACUUUUCUCUAAUCAUAUUAAUCAUAUAUAGUUAUUGGCCGG